rnacentral:rRNA from 1 species
AUUGAACGCUGGCGGCAUGCCUUACACAUGCAAGUCGAACGGCAGCACGGACUUCGGUCUGGUGGCGAGUGGCGAACGGGUGAGUAAUAUAUCGGAACAUACCUUGUAGUGGAGGAUAACUAUCCGAAAGGAUAGCUAAUACCGCAUACGAUCUAAGGAUGAAAGCGGGGGAUCUUCGGACCUCGUGCUAUAAGAGUGGCCGAUAUCUGAUUAGCUAGUUGGUGAGGUAAAGGCUCACCAAGGCGACGAUCAGUAGCUGGUCUGAGAGGACGACCAGCCACACUGGAACUGAGACACGGUCCAGACUCCUACGGGAGGCAGCAGUGGGGAAUUUUGGACAAUGGGGGCAACCCUGAUCCAGCAAUGCCGCGUGAGUGAAGAAGGCCUUCGGGUUGUAAAGCUCUUUUGUCAGGGAAGAAACGGUUGUGGCUAAUAUCCAUGGCUAAUGACGGUACCUGAAGAAUAAGCACCGGCUAACUACGUGCCAGCCGCCGCGGUAACAC